GUCCGCGUCCGUGGUUGCAAGUCGAUGCCAGACGCAGGCGAAACGAUCCACGUAAACCGUGCAAAGUCGCGGCGAGCAUGGUGCGUCCUAGAAGUAAGUCCGGCCGGCCCAACGCGGCCGAGAGGGGUAGUAGUGGGGAGCAGACGCUUAGGAGCGAACCCCCCAGCCGGCGGAUGUGGGGGCAAAGACCAGGUCGGGCGGA
rnacentral:ncRNA from 3 species